GACGAACGCUGGCGGCGUGCUUAACACAUGCAAGUCGAACGGUAAGGCCCUUCGGGGUACACGAGUGGCGAACGGGUGAGUAACACGUGGGUGAUCUGCCCUGCACUUCGGGAUAAGCCUGGGAAACUGGGUCUAAUACCGGAUAGGACUCCGGACUGCAUGGUCUGGGGUUGAAAGCUUUUGCGGGUUGGGAUGGGCCCGAGGCAUAUCAGCUUGUUGGUGGGGUGAUGGCAUACCAAGGCGACGACGGGUAGCCGGCCUGAGAGGGUGACCGGCCACACUGGGACUGAGAUACGGCCCAGACUCCUACGGGAGGCAGCAGUGGGGAACAUUGCACAAUGGGCGCAAGCCUGAUGCAGAGACGCCGCGUGAGGGAUGACGGCCUUCGGGUUGUAAACCUCUUUCAGCAUCGACGAAGCGAAAGUGACGGUAGGUGCGGAAGAAGGACCGGCCAACUACGUGCCAGCCGCCGCGGUAA
rnacentral:rRNA from 1 species